rnacentral:rRNA from 1 species
UACGAAGGGGGCUAGCGUUGCGCGGAAUCACUGGGCGUAAAGGGUGCGUAGGCGGGUCUUUAAGUCAGGGGUGAAAUCCUGGAGCUCAACUCCAGAACUGCCUUUGAUACUGAGGAUCUUGAGUUCGGGAGAGGUGAGUGGAACUGCGAGUGUAGAGGUGAAAUUCGUAGAUAUUCGCAAGAACACCAGUGGCGAAGGCGGCUCACUGGCCCGAUACUGACGCUGAGGCGCGAAAGCUAGGGGAGCGAACAGG